GUCCACGCCCUAAACGAUGUCAACUGGUUGUUGGGUCCUUCACUGACUCAGUAACGAAGCUAACGCGUGAAGGUUGACCGCCUGGGGAGUACGGCCGCAAAGGUUGAAACUCGAAAGGAAUUGACGGGGACCCGCACAAGCGGUGGAUGAUGUGGUUUAAUUCGAUGCAACGCGAAAACCUUACCCACCUUUGACAUGUACGGAAUUCGCCAGAGAUGGCUUAGUGCUCGAAAGAGAGCCGUAACACAGGUGCUGCAUGGCUGUCGU
rnacentral:rRNA from 1 species